AGAAGAGGCAGACAGAGAGAAAGCGAUGGGGAGACUGCAUAAAAGAAUGAACGGGCCUGCCAUUGAAGGAGGUCCUGGCUAGGGCGAAGGACAGAAAUGAAUGGAGAAGGACGGUCGGCGAAUCUUGCGUGGUGCCCCAACGGUCAAACAGACUAAGGGAUAGGUAAAGUCUAGCAGACGACACACACCAUGACGUCAGACUAUCUCUGUGGCGGUAACUGUCAUCCGUAAAACACUUGGGCCAAACAGGCAACAAUUUAUUAGGCUCGAGCUCCACAAAAUGUGUCCAGGUUUCAUCGACUCAUUCGACCAAAUGCCAGAUAGUUAUCCACCCAGACGAUUAGAUGAAUACUCAACUUUACUUUGAUAUUAUCGGUUACAUCUACUUGAGCAUUAUA